GUCGGAGCCGGGCGGGUCAGCGCUCAUUCCUCCGCCGCUGCACGGACACACCAACUCGAUCAGCUUCUCGCUUUCUAAUCACCACGAGACGAUGCCAGCCUUGUCAGAGCCACCAAAUUCACUUCCGAUGCACUGGAAACCAGGAAUUACCAUUACUGAGGUUAAUUGUUGCGCUCUCUAGUAUUCAACCUAAUCAAUAAAAUGGGUACUAACUACUAAAAUCACGCGACUCUGGUGAUAGACUAACAUGUACUUCCAUCGGAGGAAAACACAAGUCCCUUCGGGCGCACGUGUUUACAAACAUGUAACAUUACUUGGGCGUUAUAGCUGAAAUGGUGUAGUCUGUGUGUCGCGAUCCCAGAACAAGACCAAUAAAAUGCUACAGAUUACAAAAGCAGCUUCAGGCGUAUUCACUGAUGUAGUCGCACAGGUAAAUUAGGAAACCACCCCUUUGACUUGUGAAAUAGUAGCCUAUAUCUGUUUGGUCUCAUCACUAACCUGGCGAGAGAAGAGGCGACUCUAUAAAGCGGACACUGGCACUUUAAAUGCAGCCCGGGUCACUGGAAAAACACAAGCCUAUAUGCAAUACAAAGACAAGACGAACGGAAGGAAUAUGAAGACAGUGUAAAGAUAAGUUUGUCGUUGGCUGUGGCGGCAGCUCUGUGAUUUGUUCAUUAGGGCCUGUGAGCUCUGCUCUCUCUGCUCUCUCUGCUCUGCUGAAGUGUUUAUAGGCUGAAGGGAGCCGCUGACUCGCCCUGAUCAAUAGUCUAUGUUUGAUCUGUGGGCUUUAAACUGCGACACAGGACGAUUUCAAGUGGAAAGUGAUUAAGCACACAUGGGAAUGGGCCUCGAUCCUCACUGACACACAUCCAGCCCGACGAGAAUGUAAUCAAGCGCUGAGCCAUUAUCACACAUGACUUCAGAGCUGUUCAUGCUGGAAACUUCGCAGAGCCGCUGCUAACAGUCAAAUCCCCGCCGUUAAAGACAACAUUACAUGUCUGAAUUACAGGCUAAAGUAGCGGCUAAAUAAGAGGUUUAAUGACAAGUUGGAGAGGAUGCAAAGAAGACAGUGAGCACUGCUUUCACCAGAGCUGUAGUUACUGAAUAAAUCAUGUUCCGCCUUA